UGCCAAAGCUUUCUUGAAAUCAUUGCUUUGUUAUUAUUGCAUACACAAUAUAAAAGCUUAGAACAUGCUUGCAAUGGUUAGAUCCAUAUACAUACCUUAUCUUUUAGUAGUAACUUAACCAAAUUCUAGAUCAAAUUCUAAUUGAAAUCUUAAUUAAAUCUUAAUCAAAUUUUAGGUCAAAUCUUAAUUAAAAUCCUAAUGAAAUCCUAAAAUCUAAAAAAAUCCUAAAUAAAAUCCUAAACAAACUAUAAUCGAACUCUAAAUCUUAAAUAAAUUCUUAAUAAAUCCUAUAAUAGAUUGAAACCUCAACAAUUAAUGGU
rnacentral:lncRNA from 1 species